rnacentral:rRNA from 1 species
CAGCAGCCACGGUAAUACAGAGGGUGCGAGCGUUAAUCGGAUUUACUGGGCGUAAAGCGUGCGUAGGCGGCUUUUUAAGUCGGAUGUGAAAUCCCUAAGCUUAACUUAGGAAUUGCAUUCGAUACUGGGAAGCUAGAGUAUGGGAGAGGAUGGUAGAAUUCCAGGUGUAGCGGUGAAAUGCGUAGAGAUCUGGAGGAAUACCGAUGGCGAAGGCAGCCAUCUGGCCUAAUACUGACGCUGAGGUACGAAAGCAUGGGGAGCAAACAGGAUUAGAUACCCCAGUAGUCCCUGUCUCUUAUAC